UGGCGAUGAUUAGAAAACGCCCGCGCUUCUGAGGGGAAACCCGCUGAGGUGAAACGGACAAAAUGGUUGAAUUUCUUCGGAUGAGCCU
rfam:Physcomitrella patens subsp. patens PHYPAscaffold_92 genomic scaffold, whole genome shotgun sequence.